CCCAACUACUGUGGUGCCAAAUUCAGGCGCGUUGGCGAUUUCCUCAGGCAGGAGAGGUCUAGUGCAGUCGGCCCGAGCCGUGUACAAUCCUCUUUCACCAAAGGCAUGCAGAGCUAAUAGUGGACACACUAAGCCAGGUGGUGGGUAGGUACCACUCCGAUGAUCAUGCGUGUCGGAUAGUACAGAGUUAAAAUAAGGGGACUUCUUG